ACUCUUAUUUUAUUUGAUGUAUUAGGACUAUAACUAUGUUAAAUUAUAGAUAACAAUAAUACAAUAAGAAUAAGAUCUAUCAGUUAGUUGUUAAGGUAAUGGCUUAACAAGACUAUGACGGAUAACGGUAUUACUUUGUAAUAUUCCGGAGAAGGAGCCUGAGAGAUUGCUACUAAGUCUAAGGAUUGCAGCAGGGGCGA
rnacentral:rRNA from 1 species